UUGUUUUUCUUUCCCCUCAAAAACUCAGUUAUCAGGCAAGCACUUUUUGUACGGUUGUUAUAUCCAAUCCAAUAUCCUUUAGUUGCGAUAGUUUGUUUGAAGAAGCAGGAAAAAGAAAGAAAGAAAGAAACUGCAGAGUAUGCACCCCACACAAUCUCCCCCUCCCCCCCCCACAACUUGUGAAAUCACUGUUUUCUAUAAUGAUCCCUCCGCAGGUUCACCUACGGAGA
rnacentral:misc_RNA from 1 species